GUGCUCGCUCUAACAGCACAAAUACAAUUGGAAUGAUAUGAAGAAGAUUUGGGUGGCCCCUAUGCAAGGAUAACUCAUAAAUUUGAGAAGUAUUCCAUAUUAAA
ensembl:snRNA U6 U6 spliceosomal RNA